rnacentral:rRNA from 1 species
UACGUAGGGGGCAAGCGUUGUCCGGAUUUAUUGGGCGUAAAGAGCGUGUAGGCGGCCAUUCAGGUCAGCUGUGAAAACUCGAGGCUCAACCUCGAGACGUCGGUUGAAACCGUUUGGCUAGAGUCCGGAAGAGGAGAGUGGAAUUCCCGGUGUAGCGGUGAAAUGCGCAGAUAUCGGGAAGAACACCCGUGGCGAAGGCGGCUCUCUGGGACGGUACUGACGCUGAGACGCGAAGGCGUGGGGAGCGAACAGG